rnacentral:lncRNA from 1 species
GCGGGGCGGCGGCGGCGGCGCGCGCGUGGGCUCGUGAGAACACCACGCACCAUAACACACCUUAGUAGUUAUGCACUACCCAUGUGUGUUAUACUAUAUAAAGCCAACACCCCUUUUAUUUCUUUCUAUGUGGGACAAACACAUUCUCAAAACAAGCUUUUCCAAGCUACUAACUUCAACUUCAUUUCUCUUAUGGAUUUCAUUAAGAAAAUUCUUAAACCCAUACAUGAAAGUUUAAGUCCCGAUAUCUAGAACCAACUUCCAAUCAUUAGAUUAUGGAAUUAACAACAAGAACAUAAUAAAAUUAUGAACUUAAUAACUCCAUUUUCUAACAAUCCCCCACAAAUCCAUACAGAAAUGCGUUUCAGGUUUCUCAUCAUGACUUGUUUUUCAGAGUCGGUACCCUUCCGGGUUUGAACCCUCCUAAGUUCUCUACUUCAAUGGCUACCGGAUUCAGAUGGAAUAUUGCACCUUGAAUCUUAAUCCGUUGGGUGUAACCACUUUCCAUAGACAACAACAAAUCAACGGCUAUGGAGCCAAUCUACGGCUUUGAGACAUUAAUGGUCAUGUCUCGAUCCUGUUCGUCGAAUGCUUCAAGGAAUAACCCUUUCCUCUAAUUGCGACCACACAAUUACAUUCGCUUAGCUGGGCAUCUCCAGAGAUAUACUGCUAAUAUCUCGUCUAACGACUUGAUCCCAUUCAGAGUUGUAACACUCUUACUAUCUUAGCAGUCACAGUACCUUCUAGGUUUACAGGGGAUAGACUCAGAUACAUGAGUAUCAUCUAUGUAGCAAAGGUACUACCAAUUCACCCUUACAGCUUGUUAUUACCACAUUGAAUACACUUCGAGGGAUCUCCUCUCAUGUGUAUUGGGUUCCCACUGUUGAUGAAUUAUGAUGGGUUGACAGUCCCAUCCCCAACCUUGACUUAAGGACUACUGCAGGUUCCAGUCCUUUAGUCAAAGGAUCAGCUAUAUUAUUCUGAGUUCCUAUGAACUCUAUAGCUAUAAUCCUGUCAGACACUAACCCCCUUAUAGACUUAAGUCUAACUUGGAUGUGUCUCUUUGUUUUAGCAUUAUGCUUUUUACUGCUAAUCUUGUCAAUAGUUGUUCGACUAUCACAAUGAAUAGCAAUCGCAGGAAGCGGUCUGCUUACUACAGGUAACGCGGACAUAAGCCCAUGUAACCAUUCAGCCUCCGUCCCAGUGGCAUCAAGUGCACACAACUCAGCCUCAAAUGUCGACCGAGUCACAAUAGUCUGUCUAGUCGACUUCCAGGAUACUGCUCCACCCGCAAGGGUAAACACAUAUCCAGUCACUCCAUUGGAACCAGACUUCUUAGCUAUCCAACUUGCAUCACUGUACCCUUCAAGUACACCAGGAAACCUCCUGUAGUGUAAACUAAGGUACAUUGUGCCUUUCAGAUAUCUAAGUACUCUAUCAAGAGCAUCCCAAUGAGUUCUGUUUGGACAGCUUGUAUAUCUAGCCAACUUAGACACAGAAUAUGAGAUAUCUGGUCUAGUACAGUUAGCAAGAUACUGCAAGCUCCCAAUAAUCUGAGAAUAUCUUAACUGAGACACAGGAACUCCAGAAGUAUUCUUGACAAGGGCAACUUUAGAAUCAUAGGGUGUACUAGCGAUUCUACACCGUGAAUAACCAUAUUUCUCAAGUAUAGAUUUCUCUAUAUAAUGAGAUUGAGUCAAGGUUAUUCCUUCAGUUGACUGAAUCAGUUUGAUUCCAAGAAUCACACUAGCCUCCCCCAUAUCCUUCAUUUCAAAGUGCCUUUUUAAGAAUGCUUUUGUCUCGUUAAUAAUCUCAAUAUUGGUUCCAAACAAUAAGAUGUCAUCCACAUAUAGGCAUAAGAUGACAUACUCACUGCCUUUAACUUUGAUGUAGACACACUUAUCGCUUUCAUUAACUUUAAAACUGAAUGGCAAUACAGUAUCAUCAAACUUUUUAUGCCAAUCCCUGGGAGCUUGUUUCAAGCCAUAGAUGGACUUGAUUAACUUACAUACUUUCCUUUCAUUGCCAGAUGCAACAAAUCCCUCAGGCUGAUCCAUAUAAAUCUCCUCUUCAAGAUCACCAUGAAGAAAAGCCGUCUUUACAUCCAUCUGAUGGAUGAUAAGACCAUGGACCGAAGCCAAUGCUAUAAGCAUACGGAUUGUUACCAUCCUAGCAACCGGAGAGUAUGUGUCAAAGUAAUCAAUUCCUUCUUUUUGCUUAAACCCCUUUGCCACCAGUCUAGCUUUGUACUUAUCUAUUGAGCCGUCAGGGUUUAACUUCCUCUUGAAGACCCACUUGCACCCAAUAGUAGAGCACCCAGGAGGGAGAUCAACCAACUCCCAUGUUCCAUUAGAAACAAUAGAGUCAAUUUCACUCUUUACAGCGCCCUUCCAAUGCCUAGACUCCGAAGAGUCCAUAGCCUGUCGGAAAGUUAAAGGUUCGUCCUCGACAUUGUAAGUGAUAAAAUCACUUCCAAAAUCCUUAACUACCUUUGCACGCUUACUUCUCCUUGGUUCCUCUACUUCAUUAGGAGUAGAACUACUACCAGGUUCCGCCCCCACAUUUGUCAUCUUUUCCACAUGAUCGGGAAUAGAACUUGAUGUGUGAGUGGGAUCCUUAUCAUAGGUCUCUUGAGGUAUACCAGUCUUCAUAGGGUAGACAUCCUCAAAGAAUGUAGCAUCACGAAAUUCAACUAUCGUGUUAGCCACUAUACCAUCUAUGUCAGAUUUUAUUACUAAAAAUCUCAUAGCUGUAGUGGUCUCAGGAUAGCCCAGAAAGAUACAAUCAACAGUCUUUGGACCUAGUUUCUUUCUCUUGUGUUCAGGGACAAGUACCUUAGCAAGGCACCCCCACACACGAAGAUACUUAAGACUAGUCAUCCUGCCUUUCCAUAACUCUAAAGGUGUCUUAUCCAUGUGUUUCAGAGGAACUCUAUUCAAAAUAUGGCAAGCCGUAUUUAGAGCCUCUCCCCACAUGUAUUUAGGCAACCCAGAGUUAAUUAGCAUACUAUUAAUCAUAUCUUUAAAUGUUCUGUUCUUUCGCUCAGCGACCCCAUUAGACUCAGGUGUGUAUGGUGGAGUAACUUCAUGAACUAUACCAUUGUUUUCACAAAAUUCAUUAAAGGAGUUACUUGUAUACUCACCACCUCUGUCAGAUCUCAAACGUUUAAGUACCUUACUAGUUUGUUUUUCUACUUCAGUUUUAUAUAUAAUGAAUUUACUAAGUGCUUCAUCCUUAUGUUUAAGUAAAUAAACAUAACAAUAUCUACUACUAUCAUCUAUAAAGGUAAUGAAGUAUCUAAACUGGUCCUUAGUCAACACACCACCAAAUUCACAAAUAUCAGUGUGUACUAAAUCUAACAAGUCUGAAUCCCUAACAAUGUUAUGAAAAGGUUUCCUUAUUUGUUUAGCUGACACACAUACUUGACAUUUAGAAUUCUUUUCUAUGGUAUGUUUUGGAAUCAACUCUAAGUUCAUCAUAUUCUUAAGAGCACCAAAGUUUAAGUGACCUAGUCUAGCAUGCCAUAAACUUGAGGAUUCAACACAAUUCACAGAAGGAAGAAUAACAUUAUUUAAUGUACCCAAAACGGGUUCAGCAUUAAUUACAAAUAAACCAUUUGACAAGUAACCCUUGCCAAAAAAUAGUACCAGUGUGAAUAAGAACUACUUUAUUACAUUUGAAGGAAAUUUCAAAGCCAUUGGAAACUAAACAGCUUCCACUUAUUAUAUUUCUACGCAUGUCGGGAACAUAAUGCACUCUAGUUAGGGAUAGAAUACGUCCAGAAGGGAACUUCAGGUCUACGUUUCCUAUUCCAUGUACUUGAGCAGCACUAGCAUUCCCCAUCGUCACUGUCAAGCUAUGACUCUGUUGAUAAGAUACAAAUAGACUAAUAUCAGCACAAAUAUUUUAUUACUAAAAAUCUCAUAGCUGUAGUGGUCUCAGGAUAGCCCAGAAAGAUACAAUCAACAGUCUUUGGACCUAGUUUCUUUCUCUUGUGUUCAGGGACAAGUACCUUAGCAAGGCACCCCCACACACGAAGAUACUUAAGACUAGUCAUCCUGCCUUUCCAUAAAUCUAAAGGUGUCUUAUCCAUGUGUUUCAGAGGAACUCUAUUCAAAAUAUGGCAAGCCGUAUUUAGAGCCUCUCCCCACAUGUAUUUAGGCAACCCAGAGUUAAUUAGCAUACUAUUAAUCAUAUCUUUAAAUGUUCUGUUCUUUCGCUCAGCGACCCCAUUAGACUCAGGUGUGUAUGGUGGAGUAACUUCAUGAACUAUACCAUUGUUUUCACAAAAUUCAUUAAAGGAGUUACUUGUAUACUCACCACCUCUGUCAGAUCUCAAACGUUUAAGUACCUUACUAGUUUGUUUUUCUACUUCAGUUUUAUAUAUAAUGAAUUUACUAAGUGCUUCAUCCUUAUGUUUAAGUAAAUAAACAUAACAAUAUCUACUACUAUCAUCUAUAAAGGUAAUGAAGUAUCUAAACUGGUCCUUAGUCAACACACCACCAAAUUCACAAAUAUCAGUGUGUACUAAAUCUAACAAGUCUGAAUCCCUAACAAUGUUAUGAAAAGGUUUCCUUAUUUGUUUAGCUGACACACAUACUUGACAUUUAGAAUUCUUUUCUAUGGUAUGUUUUGGAAUCAACUCUAAGUUCAUCAUAUUCUUAAGAGCACCAAAGUUUAAGUGACCUAGUCUAGCAUGCCAUAAACUUGAGGAUUCAACACAAUUCACAGAAGGAAGAAUAACAUUAUUUAAUGUACCCAAAACGGGUUCAGCAUUAAUUACAAAUAAACCAUUUGACAAGUAACCCUUGCCAAAAAAUGUACCAGUGUGAAUAAGAACUACUUUAUUACAUUUGAAGGAAAUUUCAAAGCCAUUGGAAACUAAACAGCUUCCACUUAUUAUAUUUCUACGCAUGUCGGGAACAUAAUGCACUCUAGUUAGGGAUAGAAUACGUCCAGAAGGGAACUUCAGGUCUACGUUUCCUAUUCCAUGUACUUGAGCAGCACUAGCAUUCCCCAUCGUCACUGUCAAGCUAUGACUCUGUUGAUAAGAUACAAAUAAACUAAUAUCAGCACAAAUAUGCACAUUAGCUCCAGUAUCUAUCAACCAUUCAUUUGACAGAUAGGUAGAAAAUAAUACAGGGUUGUAGGAAACAUACCGGUCUGCGUUGGUUUCAGAAGCCGUGGCCUCACCAACAACCAUGUUCACUACGGGCCCACUUGUAGUUGCAAGCACAGCAUUCGCUUGUGCUACCACCUCAGCCUUCUUCGCCUUCUUUGUAGGGCAGUCCUUACUCCAGUGCCCAACCUGCCCACAAGACCAACACGGUUUGUUUGCCUUGGGUUUCUUGGCCUUGUCCUUGUCACUCUUAGGUUUAUUAGCGCUAACUUUCUUAGCCACACCCUUCCUUUUCUGUCCUACAGUAGCUACAUUUACCUUCGAGCUCCCGGCCUCAGUUGGCAUCACAUGUCCUUGUUUGGACUUGUGUUGUUCUUGAACCGAGAUGUCCAGCAUAAGGUUGGUCCAGAUGAUCUCUCCUUUCUGUCUUUUCAGGGAGAGAGAGAACUCCUCCCAAGACUUCGGAAGCUUUUCAAUCACACUCAUAACCUUGAACUUUUCAGGGAGAUCCAUUCCGGACUCCUUCAAAGCAUGCACUAUCAUCUCGAAUUCAUGCACUUGCUCAGUCAUGGACUUGUUGUCCACCAGCUUGAAUUCAAGGAACUUAGCCACAGAAUACUUCUCAAGACCCUGAGAGUCAGUAUUAAGUGGGCUGAGAAGGAUGGUGUGGCCAGGGCGGCCAUUCUGGCUGCUCUCACUAACACAUUGUUUGAUGAUAUUUUACCUUCACGUUUUGUUUCAACUUGCUUGGCCUUGGCUUGNCCACCACUGGUUUCUCAUACUCCACAACAGGCCAUAGACCUUUUACAGUCAACCACAAUUUCAUUCUUUUCUGCCAGCGAGAAAAGCCUACACCACCAUUGAACUUCUCUGGCAAGCCAGUUAAUUCAACGGCUUGUGGAAAACUGUAAGUGGUCCAAUCAAUGGCCACAACAGAUGCACCAGAACCACUACCACCACCAACAACGGGAACCUCAGUUUCACUCGACAUUAUGCUAAAUAAUAUAUAACAAAUAUUCUCUUCAAGAAUGUUGGAAAUUCUGAUUAUUAUAACAACAUAGAGGCAGUUAUAUAUCAUAUUAAACAAGCCAAGGCCAAGCAAGUUUAAACAAAACGCGAAGGUAAAACACAUGCAUAUCAGUGACUGUAAGACAAGAGGAAGGAGAGAAAUUGUACCAGUAGCCAUAGCCUGAGGCAACGACAUGUACAACACGAAAAUGACAAGAACAGCUGAGUCGUCAGGCCUUAUACGAAGACCUGACUGCUCUUGAAGAGAAUAUUGCCCCCACCUGCUGCACUGGGGAUGCUUGCAACACCUCCUCCAGGAUAAAACAGCUCAGAGCUUUGAGCCAGUUAAUUCAACGGCUUGUGGAAAACUGUAAGUAGUCCAAUCAAUGGCCACAACAGAUGCACCAGAACCACUACCACCACCAACAACGGGAACCUCAGUUUCGCUCGACAUUAUGCUAAAUAUUAUAUAACAAAUAUUCUCUUCAAGAAUGUUGGAAAUUCUGAUUAUUAUAACAACAUAGAGGCAGUUAUAUAUCAUAUUAAACAAGCCAAGGCCAAGCAAGUUGAAACAAAACGUGAAGGUAAAAUACAUGCAUGUCAGUGACUGUAAGACUAGAGGAAGGAAAGAAGUUGUACCAGUAGCCAUAGCUUGAGGCAAGAACAUGUACAACAAGAAAAUCACAAGAACAGCUGAGUCGUCAGGCCUUAUACGAAGACCUGACUGCUCUUGAAGAGAUUAUUGCCCCCACCUGCUGCACUGGGGAUGCUUGCAACACCUCCUCCAGGAUAAAACAGCUCAGAGCUUUGAAUUACAGCACCUUCGAAGCUCAACCACGACUAGCUCCUCACUCGCCGGAAAACCAACUACUGACUGACUUGUGUUUGGGAGAGAGAGCAGAGAGGAAGAAGAGAAGAGAAUGUAGGGUGUGGUGUAUGAAACUCAGCAGCUUAGUCCUCUAUUUAUACUAGAGGCUAAGUGUAACUGACCACCCCAAAUUUAAUAUAUGAAUUUAAACUGCACAUUUAAAAUAAAUCGUAACAGCUGAUUUAUUAUAAUGUAACAGCUGAUAUAUAUUAAUCCUCACAUUAAACCAUCCGUUUUAUAUAUAUAUACUUUAAUUUCUGAAUAUAUAUCAUCAGUUACAAGUCCAGGUUCAUUGUAUCUGACUUAGCCCAAUUAUGCAAUCCGACCCAGUCCAAUUGAGCCCAACAGACACAACCCAGCCCAACUGAUAAAUAAAUUCUAAUUAAAAUAUUAUAUUAAAUCGAUACGAAAUAAAAUUCCCCGCCCAGGUCGCCUCGCGUACGCGAGACGCCGAGACAUUCGCCCAAAUCGCCCUUCGACCCGACCCGUGACGUGACGUGACGUGCCGAGCCGAGGCGGCGCGCGCGUGGGCUCGUGAGAACACCACACACCAUAACACACCUUAGUAGUUAUGCACUACCCAUGUGUGUUAUACUAUAUAAAGCCAACACCCCUUUUAUUUCUUUCUAUGUGGGACAAACACAUUCUCAAAACAAGCUUUUCCAAGCUACUAACUUCAACUUCAUUUCUCUUAUGGAUUUCAUUAAGAAAAUUCUUAAACCCAUACAUGAAAGUUUAAGUCCCGAUAUCUAGAACCAACUUCCAAUCAUUAGAUUAUGGAAUUAACAACAAGA